UACAGAGGGUGCAAGCGUUGCUCGGAAUUAUUGGGCGUAAAGGGUAGGUAGGUGGUCUCAUUUGUCGGGGGUGAAAGCCUUGGGCUUAACCCAAGAAGUGCCUUCGAAACGGUGAGACUGGAGUCCUGGAGAGGGUCGUGGAAUUCCCGGUGUAGCGGUGAAAUGCGUAGAGAUCGGGAGGAACACCAGAGGCGAAGGCGGCGACCUGGACAGGUACUGACGCUGAGACGCGAAAGCGUGGGGAGCGAACAGG
rnacentral:rRNA from 1 species